UGGAGUCCUGGAAUGGAGACUUAUUAGAAAGGCAGCGUCACUUACCUGCUACAAAGUGGCCAUGAAUACCCACAGGGAGUUCACUCACCACUCCUCCAGUGCUUGAGAAUCCUGCCCUGUGAGCCAAAUUUUCAGGAGUGCUCCCAGGAAGAGAUUAGCAGUCUAACUUCUAUGCACAAAUGUCCUAUCACAACCAGCACUGUUACCUUUGAAAAGAUUACUCCUAGGAAGAGCUGAACAACCUUCCUCUUGUGGACAAAUAUAAUUUUGACAAGCUCACUGUUUCUUUUCAAAGGUGAAUUUCCAGAUUUGUAUUUGUUUCAGAAAUUUGAAUAGGUCAGGUUUGGGGCCCUAA
rnacentral:lncRNA from 1 species